AUCUCAUCCACUUGACCCUUCUGUAGUCUAUUACAGAGUUCUCAGGCCAUUGUUCCAGAUGCACAAAACUGCUGUGAGGUGAGAUACUCCGCUGGUACUGCCAUUUCUGACCUUAGAAAUGUAGAAUGCUGCACAGAAAUGGCCUGGGACUACAACAGAAGAAUGCUACAGUUCUGCAGACCCACCACAAGAGAAUGAUCAGAAACGCAUUAGCUCUGAUUCUUUGUGUUGCAAUGGACGUCUGAAGGCUAAGGGCAGUUGUGAUGGAGAUCUGUAACUAAUCCAGAUAUGCAUUAUAACCUGGACAUUCAGCCUAUAAAAGCCAGCAUCAAACUGAGCCUCCUUGCAUUUGGACUAUUCCAGGCUGGGAAUCCCUAUUCAACUGAAGUGUCUCCAAUUUGACUUCAGAUCUAUCUCGUUUAGGAUUGGAGUGGCUGAAUCCUUAGCAUAAUAGUGGGAAAUCCCAGUACAGCUGGGCUCUGUUGCUACAAUACACCUGGAGUCCAGACAGAUCGACCAGUGCCAACAUGAUUCAGCCCAGUGAUACAAGUCAGUGCCAAAUAUUUGUUGGCACUAUUAUAAGGAGCGGUGAUAAUAAAAUCCUCAACCAACAGGACAUCGUCAGAUAUCCUUGCUGUAGAUUUUCCAAAUCUAGGGUUAUGAGUGCAAACUACAUAUGCAUUAUUAUGUGUAAAAGGUCAGAAGAUCUACAGUAACUAGUGAGGAAGGGUGCCUUUUCAUUAAAACUUUUCUACACCCUGCCGAGGAAUCAUUUACAGUGCUUUUCUGUGGUUGAGCAUGAACUGGAAGAAUAGUGACAAGAUGUGCAUCCUCUAUAAUCUGAUUGAAUAUCUUGCACCACCCAUCAGAUUGCUUUGAUAGCCUCUGUACUCUACCUUUCCAUCAGAAUGGCUUCAACUCUGCAUCUCCGAGCUUACACGUGAAUUUCCAAAGAGGUCUCAACAGCAGGUCUAGCCUGAAGAACCCAGUUCUUCCUUGCAGUAUGAAGAAUUUACCCCUGAAAAAAAUAAUAGGGCAGGAAGAAACGUUGUAGGGAAUGAGAAAAAUAUGUGUAUCUGGUAUAAACAACUGGUAGAAUGGACAGUGCCUUUUUCACGUUAGAAACUUGAACCAAUUACUGAGGGCUGACAAGUGUGUGGCAUUAAGCUACUAAUGAUUACAAUUUGUACAUUAAGAAUUUAAAAGCAGUGUAGCAUCAUUAAAAUGCCCACUAACUAUUUCCUCACUACUGUGUCUGAGCUGCAUCCAUUUGAGUAGCUGUAGGCUGCUGUGCAGUGGAAAUUUAAUGUUCCUUUUUAACUGUUAGUAAAUUUCUAGAGUCAUAAAGUCACAGAGCAACAGAGGCUCUUUGGCCCAGGGAAUCCAUGCUAACCAUGAUAGUGCCAAUGUCCUAUGUUUAACCCAUAUACCUCCUAGCUUCUCCCCUCAAGUCAAGUCACUUUUAUUGCCAUUUCAACCAUAACUGCUGGUACAGUACAUAGUAAAAAUGAGACCACGUUUUUUCAGGACCAUGGUGUUACAUUACAAAAACUAGACUGAACUAUGUAAAAAAACAACACAGAAAAAACUACACUAGACUACAGACCUACUCAGGACUGCAUAAAGUGCACAAAACAGUACAGGCAUUACAAUAAAUAAUAAACAGGACAAUAGGGCACUAAGGUGUCAGUCCAGACUCUGGGUAUUGAGGAGUCUAAUAGCUUGGGGGAAGAAACUGUUACAUAGUCUGGUUGUGAGAGCCCGACCACUUAUCCCGACUACUCCAUAUACUUAUCUAAGUGUUUCGUCAAUGAUACAAUUGUAAUAAACACUUCCUCUAUCAGCUUCUCCCAUAUACUCACCACUCACAGGUCUGUUUUAAACCUUCUCCCUCUCACCCCGAAUUAAUGCCCCUCACUUUAAACUGCCCUACCCUCAUUUACUUAUCUAUACCCUCAUAAUUUUUUUUAUUCCGAUCACUUGGCAUAUAAACAGAGGCUAAAGAGCAAGGCUCCAGAGAUUAGGAUGACAAAGAAGUGAUCAUGGGAGGAAGAGGAGCAGCUACGGGAUUGCUUCAAAUUGGUGGACUGGGCCGAGUUCAAAGACUUGUCUGUGGAUCGGAAUGAACACAAAAUGGUUGUCAUGAAUUUUAUUAAAACAGUUGUAGAUGAAUUUGUCCACACAAAAUCGUUCAGUAUUCCCCAAACAGAAGCCCUGGAUGAACCAUGGGGUCUGCAAUCUUCAAGCGGCAUUCAGGAGGCAAACCCAUUAAAGCCAUCUGAUCCACAUUGGGGACCUGGCUAAGUCUCAAUGACCUUUGCUAAUCUUUAACUAUUCACUUUGGCAGCCUGAGGUACCCACCUGCUUCAAGCAGACUUCACUUAUACCUAAGAAGAACAUGGAGAUCUGCCUCAGUGACUGUUGUCAAAUAGCACUUAGAUCCACAGUGAUAAAGUCUUUUGAGAGGUUGAUGAUGAAACAUAUCAAUUCCUGCAUGAAAAAUGACUUGGAUCCGCUCCGAUUUGACUACUGGAGCAACAGUUUGGGUCAACUAAAGUAUCUGAUGCUCCUGAUAUGGUUUCCUCUCCAUUGGUGAGAUCCAGUGUGGAUUGGGGGACUUCUUAGUCAAACACCUUUGCUCCAUCUGAAAAGAGCAGGAUUCCCUGGUGGCAUUUUGACACCAAUCCCCAUUCCCAUUCUUCUAUUCCUUCGAUGUGGCCACUCUCAAGUUGAUGACAUUAACAUUGAUUAAUCCAUCUUCCACUAACUUUUACCUCUCUCCCUUCCCUCUUCUUCAAAUGCCCAUUUUGGCCCCCUAUUACCUUUUCUCUUCACUACCUAUCCCUGGUGCUUUUCCUCCUUUCCUUUUCCCCUUUGACUCCUCUCCUCUCCUAUCAGAUUCUUCCUUCUCCAGCCCUUUACCUUUUCUGACUAUUGCCUCCAAGCUUCUUAUUUCAUCCACUUCAUCCAUCCAAAUGGCGUUAUCUAUCACCUUCUAGCCUGAAAUCCUUCCCUUCUCCACACCAUCCCAUUCUGGCUUCUUUCCCCUUCCUUUCUGGUCCUGAAGAAGGGUCUCAGCCUGAAACACUGACUGUUUAAUCAUUUCCACAGAUGAUGCCUGACCUGCAGAGUUCCUCCAGCUUUUUGUGUGUGUUGCUCAAGAAUCUGAAGGAACUAUUCUGAACGAACUUGAUAACUGGUACCUGGAGCAGGAGGCAGAUAGUAAUCAUCAUUAUGAUUAUAGUUUAAAAAAUGGUUUUAACAGGAGAAUAACAAUAGUAGUGAGUCAAGAUAAAUAUGAUACUUAAGAAGGGAAAUAUUUUAGGAAUAAAUAACAGAAGCUUUCCAAGAGCCAGCAGGCAAUCUAUACUGAUAGACAAUACUGAUCUGCAUGUAAAAUGCUGAUGUGAAAUAUUCACCUAUGGCAGAAAAAAGGAUAAAUUACUUCAUUUGCAUAAGUUGAAUGAUCAUUGAAUCCAAGUCCAAGUUCCUUGGCUUUUGAAACAGCCUGUUGCAUAGAACACCAGUGUCAGUUUAGGCUAUGGGCUCGAAGAAUUCCAAUACUUCUUAAAUCUUAAAGUGUCAGAUGCUAUUGAGUUAGUCAUACAUAGUCUUGCCUUUGAUCACUGCAGAUCCUAUAAAGGAAAUGGAGUAAAGUUGGCUGCAGUCCAUUCUGUGCUGAAGUUUGGAGUGGCCUGGGGGUAAUGGAGAGGGUAGACAUUGGAAGGGGGUUUAAGGCAAGGACUGUCUAGAGCUUAUCAACAACAUAUGACCAUAAGACAUAGCAGCAGAGUUAGGCCAUCUGCCCAUCAAGUUUGCUCGGCCAUUCAAUCAUAGCUGAUCCUUUUAUUUUCUCCUUCUCAACCCCAGUUCCUGGCCUUCUCCCCGUAACCUUUGAUGCCAUGUCCAAUCAAGAAACUAUCAAUCUCUGCCUUAAAUACACCCAACAACCUGGCCUCCACAGCUGCAUGUGGCAACAAAUUCCACAAAUUCACCACCCUUAGACUGAAGAAAUUUCUCAGCAUCUCUGUUUUGAAAGGGCGCCCCACUGUCCUGAGACUGUGCCCUCUUGUCCAAGACUCUCCCACCAUGCGAAACAUCCUUUCCACAUCUACUCUGUCUAGGCCUUUCAACAUUCAAAAGGUUUCAAUGAGAUCCCCCCUCAUCCUUCUGAAUUCCAGUGAGUACAGACCCAGAGCCAUCAAAUAUUCCUCUCCAAUGCCAACACAUCUUUUCCAAGAUGAGUGGCCCAAAACUGCUCACACUACUCAAGGUGAGGUUUCACCAGUGCUUUAUAAAACCUCAGCUUCACAUCCCUGCUCUUGUGUUCUAGAUCUCUUGAAAUGAGUACUAAAAUUACAUUUACCUUUCUCGCCACUGACUCAACCUGCAAGUCUACCUUUAGGGUGUUCUGCACAUGGACUCCCAAGUCCCUUUGCAUCUCAGAUUUUUGGAUUUUCUCCCCAUUUAGAAAAUAGUCCACACAUUUAUUUCUACUGCCAAAGUGCAUGGCCAUGCAUUUUCCAACAUUAUUUUUCAUUUGCCACUUUCUUGCCCAUUUUCCUACUUAUCUGUCACAGACUGCCUCCUGGUUCCUUGUCCCCACUGAAUGUAAGCAGGGACACACUGACUUGCAGAUGUGCUCCAAUUUUCUUCGGUACCAUUUUGCUGAGUAGCUUAUCUCUAAACAAAUUCAAAACGUUUCUGUUGUUCUUUCCUCGGAUGCCGGGGUGAAUUUUCCAAACCAGUGUAAUGCAGCACAGAUGGAUAAUACUUAAGUUUGUCCCUUGCAGUUGGAAGAGAUUUAUGGACCAUCUUCUAGCCUGAAAAUUUGAUGGAAUUCUAAGGAGAAUUUACACACAAGUGCUUGGGAAGAAAGACCUCUGAACUCCAGAUUCUUGAGAGAGUGAUGUAGAUGGGAAGUAGAAUAUAUUCCCCUGGUCUAUUAACCACAGAGCAUAGAUUAAAAUUCACCCAAAAGAAAGAAAAAGCAUUUUCCAGUUAAACAAUUUAAUGUAGCUCAUGAGUAUAAUAAAGGAAAUUCUGGCAGCUAGCUUCAGCAUAUAAUUAGAGGACUAAUGAUAGGCUUACUGUAGAAGUAAAUCCUGAGUGUGCAAUAAUAUUCCAAGUUGAUGGCUUCAAUCAUAUUGCAAACUGCAUCAUUUCUGUAACCUUCAAGGUAACAAUAAAGCCCUUGACUCUGC